GCAGUCGAGCGAGAUUUUUGAAUUGAAACUUCGGUCGAGAUUCGAAAAGGACAGCGGCGAAAGGGAGAGUAACGAGUAGAUUACGUACCCAAGGGUUCGGAAUAGCGGGGGGAAACCGCCGGUAAUGCCGAAUAAUGUCUCCGGACCAAAGAUUUAUUGCCCUUGGAGCGGUCUGCUUACUAUUAGCUUGUUGGUGUGGUAAUGGCGCACCAAGGCGAAGAUGGUUAGCGGGUGUGAGAGCAUGGCCCGUCUCACUGGGACUGAGACACUGCCCAGACACCUACGGGUGGCUGCAGUCGAGAAUCUUCCGCAAUGGACGAAAGUCUGACGGAGCGACGCCGCGUGCGGGAUGAAGGCCUUCGGGUUGUAAACCGCUGUCAGAGGGGAGGAAAUUUUGACCGAUCCUCAAAGGAAGCACAGGCUAAAUUCGUGCCAGCAGCCGCGGUAAUACGAAUUGUGCGAACGUUAUUCGGAAUCACUGGGCUUAAAGGGUGCGUAGGCGGGUUUAAAGGUCUGAUGUGAAAUCCCACGGCUCAACCGUGGAAUUGCGUUGGAAACCAUAAGUCUUGAGGAGAUCAGAGGUGAGCGGAACUGAUGGUGGAGCGGUGAAAUGCGUUGAUAUCAUCAGGAACACCGGUGGCGAAAGCGGCUCGCUGGGAUCUUUCUGACGCUGAGGCACGAAAGCCAGGGGAGCGAACGGGAUUAGA
rnacentral:rRNA from 1 species